rnacentral:rRNA from 1 species
CAGUCGCCGCGGGAAUACGUAGGUGGCAAGCGUUGUUCGGAAUUAUUGGGCGUAAAGGGCUCGCAGGCGGUUUCUUAAGUCUGAUGUGAAAGCCCCCGGCUCAACCGGGGAGGGUCAUUGGAAACUGGGAAACUUGAGUGCAGAAGAGGAGAGUGGAAUUCCACGUGUAGCGGUGAAAUGCGUAGAGAUGUGGAGGAACACCAGUGGCGAAGGCGACUCUCUGGUCUGUAACUGACGCUGAGGAGCGAAAGCGUGGGGAGCGAACAGGAUUAGAUACCCCUGUAGUCCCUGUCUCUUAUAC